GCUUUGCUGGCAUUGUGUAGUCCUGACACUUGCGUUACCCCAAGGGUUGUAUUCACAAGAUCCAGUUCUGUGAUUAUAUCAAUCUGUAAGUCAGGAUCCAUUCCAAAUCCCACAGCUGCGAGCCAGCGCAGAAUCUACUCCCGUAGCUGUUCUACACUUAAACACUUCUCCUCUCCAGCCCCGAACUUGGCUCAGUUCUUGGCAAGAAAC